rnacentral:snoRNA from 1 species
CUUCAGUGAUGAUACGAUGACGAGUCAGAGAGGACUCUCCUUGUGGAGUCCACGUUCAGGGUCACGUUCUGUGUCUCUGUGCUGGUCACUCCACACGGCAUGUCCUCCAUACUGAUUGAACUCGAGGCAUUUGUCUGAGAAGG